ensembl:lncRNA
UGCUCGCUGCCCUGAGCCGAGAGCUAAGCAUCUCUGCUCUAGGGACUGUCUGCCACAGCUGUGUGCAAGGCUAAAAUUGGUGCAGUGCUGCAUGAGUUGUUAGCUGUGGGUGGUGAGUGCUUCCUUGCCUGCCCUCUAGCAAGUUGCCACCAUUUUAGUACAAGUUCAGGGCUUCCUGUAACAGGAGACAAUAACCCUGGGGAGGGGAGGAGAACCAGAGAAGCAGCAAACCUGCGGUGUUAGGUCUGUCUGAAAGCCAGUAAGGCACCAUGGGCUGUUAGUGAUUUUGAUACGCUGCCUGGGGCUCACUGCUUAAAGAAAACGGCGGUGUUUGCCCAAGUGGUGAUCUGUUGAGGCAGUGUCUGAGAAGUCCUGGCUGACUUCUAUUGCAGACUGGGGCACAGAGGAAGGUCUGAGGAACAGCUGAGAAAGCAAACAACCAGACGAAGGAUUCACAUGAGGUCAGUGCUGGCAGACUGACCGAGCCAAAGCAGUUGGUUUUUGCUUGUCUUACAUAAAAAAUGAUCUUUUGCCUGGAAACACAGUGCAAGGCUGAAGGAUGCAGUGCAGGAUAAGGGCUAGUUCACCUGGCACGCUGCUGCUGAUUUGUGAUGCUUUGCUCUCUACUUGCCUUUGGAUUCUGGCGAUGUGAUAUAGAUGAGAUCUCUGUAAACAAAUGCAUUUCCAGGGUUCACAUGAUGACAAAGUGAUUUGGCCACAUCCUUAGUCAGAUGAUGAGAAUUAAUUGUGCAUUCUGUGCCUUUACAAAUAAAGGCACAGAUUAGGAAAACAUAUGCCUAUCAAUUAGUUAAAUUGCUAGGCUCAUUAUUCAUUUACAUGGCAUUUCUAGGGCUUAAAAUGUGACUAAUGCUUUAAUGCAGAGUCUUCUUGAAGGCAUCCAAUGUAGUUGGAGGAGAAAAUGCCCUAAAGGCCUGCAUAUAAUGUAGGUAUGAGCUGUCUGCACCUCCCCAAACCAAGAACAUCCUCCCUUUUAUAUUUUUAUAUAUAUAUUUGUGUGUGUGUGACUUAUUUAAGGGAAUAACACUUAUUUCUAACAUGGGCUGGUUAGAAACCAAAUCCCAGCCCCAUCCGUUGGCUCCUUCAACAGAAGAACUCAAUGUGUUUCAAAUCAUGAGCGAGCACCGUCACAGCCUGCUGCCGGAUCUCAUUGAUCACUGGAACAACGAUAGCUCUGGAGUGCCAUCUGCUAUGAACAGGGCAUAGGGAGGCAAAGCUGGCUUGGUUUGGCUCCAUGCGUCUCCUGAACGCCCGCACGCUUCGCAGGCAGAGCUGCCGGAUCUUCAUCUGUGCAUCCCAGCCAGAGCUUCCCAGGUAAGCCGGCCUCAGCCAGAGAGGUGCCUUCAGCAGCACAGCACCUCCUCGUGUUCGCUGAGGAGAGCUGCCGGGACUGCAUCGCUGUCCUUCUCUAUGCUGGUCCUUUUAAGUGUAACAGGAGAGAUUUCCAGCAACUUUCGGUAGGGUAGCAGAAAACAAAUAUGGAAUUGGGCUUAAAAAACAGAUGUGGGAGCAUACUGACCGUGCUCUAAACAACAGCUUCUCUAAGUCUGAGCUGUGUGGUUUUAUUGCUUGUUUGAACGUGGCUGUGAAAUAAGAACAGCCUUCAGAAUCGGGCUUAUUGAAAACUUAUAAGGCAAUAAACACAUUACAUGAAAACUUGCAUAGCAGUCUGUGGAUUUCACAGCCCCAAGCAGGUAACAGUGGGGGAGAACUGCACCAGUGUAGGAAGAGUAGGGCAGAGGUGCUGGACAGCCUGUGCUCAACUUACACUGUUCGUCAUUCAGUGAGGACUGAAGUCGAGUUGUAAACAGCAUUCUGUACUUAGAGCACAUGAGGAGCAGCACGGUGUCUUCCAGCAGGAUUUAUGGCCUUCCACGGCCUUUUUCAGUGGAUGGAAAGUAAUUCCUGGCUUCUGAGCUCUUUAAAAGCUUUCAGGACACCCUAUAAAACCUGAGCAAAGCACAAAGAAAAUCUCCCCCCAGUUGCUGGUGUGGAAUGAAAGCUGCCAAGUGGGAAAGCGAGGCCUUAAUGCAGCUUUUAUCAAAUUUUAAAGACUGCUUAAAAACUGCUUGUGUUAAGAAUGUAUUUAUUCCUUCAUUAUUUACAGACCUUUUGUUUCCACGUUUAGACAAGUUUAUGGUUC